AAACAGUUGGCUGGAAAUUUCUUGGAAUUCAGUUGAAAAUGAAAAUAUUGUUGAUUUUGGUAAGCUUGUGCGCUAUUUGCCACGCCUUCCAACCCGAAGAUAAUGCUGUGCCUCGUGGUCGUCCGCCGUAUAACCGACAAAAUGGCGUAAACGGCUAAAAAGUACAGUUACUUCUGAUUAGCCCGAUUCCUUGAAGGUU